rnacentral:rRNA from 1 species
UACGGAGGAUCCAAGCGUUAUCCGGAAUCAUUGGGUUUAAAGGGUCCGUAGGCGGUUUUGUAAGUCAGUGGUGAAAGCCCAUCGCUCAACGGUGGAACGGCCAUUGAUACUGCAAGACUUGAAUUAUUAGGAAGUAACUAGAAUAUGUAGUGUAGCGGUGAAAUGCUUAGAGAUUACAUGGAAUACCAAUUGCGAAGGCAGGUUACUACUAAUUGAUUGACGCUGAUGGACGAAAAGCGUGGGGAGCGAACAGG